GGAGAGCAAUUCACUCCCGAGUAUGAAAAACUCAAUCCUAUCGGUUAUGUACCUACUCUCGUGGAUGGGGAUAUCGUUAUUGCCGACUCUUUUGCUAUAUUAAUGUAUUUAGAGGAGAAAUAUCCUCAGCAUCCUCUGUUGCCAAGUGAUCUGAGUAAAAGAGCUGUUAAUUAUCAGGUAUGUUGCAUUUGUUAAUCAUGUCUGGGAUUAAUGUACAUUUGGUACCUGCAAAUGUGCAAGAAAUGCGC